AUUCCUGUAGUUGAGUUACAACGUUGGUUCUUCAAAUCACUGGUCUCGGUUAGAGUCCGAGUAGGAAUU
rnacentral:tRNA from 1 species